AUUGAACGCUGGCGGCAUGCUUUACACAUGCAAGUCGAGCGGCAGCGCGGGGGCAACCCUGGCGGCGAGCGGCGAACGGGUGAGUAAUGCAUCGGAACGUAUCCUCGAGUGGGGGAUAACUUACCGAAAGGUGGGCUAAUACCGCAUGAGCUCGGAGGAGGAAAGCGGGGGACCGGAAGGCCUCGCGCUGGAGGAGGGGCGGAUGCCCGAUUAGCUAGUUGGUGGGGUAAGAGCCUACCAAGGCGACGAUCGGUAGCUGGUCUGAGAGGAUGAUCAGCCACACUGGGACUGAGACACGGCCCAGACUCCUACGGGAGGCAGCAGUGGGGAAUUUUGGACAAUGGGGGCAACCCUGAUCCAGCCAUGCCGCGUGAGUGAAGAAGGCCUUCGGGUUGUAAAGCUCUUUCGGACGGAACGAAAUCGCCUGGGCUAAUACUCUGGGCGGAUGACGGUACUGUAAGAAGAAGCACCGGCUAACUACGUGCCAGCCGCCGCCGUAAAAC
rnacentral:rRNA from 1 species